rnacentral:rRNA from 1 species
UACGUAGGGUGCGAGCGUUGUCCGGAAUUAUUGGGCGUAAAGGGCUCGUAGGCGGUUUGUCGCGUCGGGAGUGAAAACACCGGGCUUAACUCGGUGCUUGCUUUCGAUACGGGCAGACUAGAGGUAUGCAGGGGAGAAUGGAAUUCCCGGUGUAGCGGUGAAAUGCGCAGAUAUCGGGAGGAACACCGGUGGCGAAGGCGGUUCUCUGGGCCUUACCUGACGCUGAGGAGCGAAAGCGUGGGGAGCGAACAGG